rnacentral:rRNA from 1 species
CAGCCGCCGCGGUAAUACGGAGGGUGCAAGCGUUAAUCGGAAUUACUGGGCGUAAAGCGCACGCAGGCGGUCUGUCAAGUCAGAUGUGAAAUCCCCGGGCUUAACCUGGGAACUGCAUUUGAAACUGGCAGGCUAGAGUCUUGUAGAGGGGGGUAGAAUUCCAGGUGUAGCGGUGAAAUGCGUAGAGAUCUGGAGGAAUACCGGUGGCGAAGGCGGCCCCCUGGACAAAGACUGACGCUCAGGUGCGAAAGCGUGGGGAGCAAACAGGAUUAGAGACCCCAGUAGUCCCUGUCCUUAUACA